rnacentral:rRNA from 1 species
AUUGAACGCUGGCGGCAGGCCUAACACAUGCAAGUCGAGCGGAUGAAGGUAGCUUGCUCCUGUGGUCAGCGGCGGACGGGUGAGUAAUGCCUAGGAAUCUGCCUGGUAGUAGGGGAUAACGUCCGGAAACGGUCGCUAAUACCGCAUACGUCCUGAGGGAGAAAGUGGUGGAUCUUCGGACCUCACGCUAUCAGAUGAUCCUAGGUCGGAUUAGCUAGUUGGUGGGGUAAAGGCCUACCAAGGCGACGAUCCGUAACUGGUCUGAGAGGAUGAUCAGUCACACUGGAACUGAGACACGGUCCAGACUCCUACGGGAGGCAGCAGUGGGGAAUAUUGGACAAUGGGCGAAAGCCUGAUCCAGCCAUGCCGCGUGUGUGAAGAAGGUCUUCGGAUUGUAAAGCACUUUAAGUUGGGAGGAAGGGCAGUAAGCUAAUACAUUGCUGUUUUGACGUUACCAAAAGAAUAAGCACCGGCUAACUUCGUG